GUCCCUGUAGCGCACCGGAUAGCUUGUUGGACUUCUAAUCCAAAGGUCGUGGGUUCGAAUCCCUCAAGGGAUG